rnacentral:rRNA from 1 species
AGCUGGAUUCGCUAGUAAUCGCGCAUCAGCCAUGGCGCGGUGAAUACGUUCCCGGGCCUUGUACACACCGCCCGUCAAGCCAUGGGAGCCGGGGGCGCCUGAAGUGCGGUACCGCGAGGGCCGCCCAAGGGCGAGACCGGUGACUGGGGCUAAGUCGUAACAAGGUAUC